rnacentral:pre_miRNA from 1 species
AGGAGGAACAACCCCAGUGGGUUGCUGCAGCUCUGGAAACCUGGAUUCAGCUCCCGCAGGAACUACUCGGUCUGCAGGGCCUGGAGGCUCCGGGGCGGG